rnacentral:rRNA from 1 species
AGAGCGAACGCUGGCGGCAGGCCUAAAACAUGCAAGUCGAACGGACCCUUCGGGGUUAGUGGCGGACGGGUGAGUAACACGUGGGAACGUGCCUUUUGGUUCGGAACAACUCAGGGAAACUUGAGCUAAUACCGAAUGUGCCCUUCGGGGGAAAGAUUUAUCGCCAUUAGAGCGGCCCGCGUCUGAUUAGCUAGUUGGUGAGGUAAAGGCUCACCAAGGCUACGAUCUGUAUCC